GAUGAACGCUGGCGGCGUGCCUAAUACAUGCAAGUCGAGCGAACAGAUGAGGAGCUUGCUCCUCUGACGUUAGCGGCGGACGGGUGAGUAACACGUGGAUAACCUACCUAUAAGACUGGGAUAACUUCGGGAAACCGGAGCUAAUACCGGAUAAUAUAUUGAACCGCAUGGUUCAAUAGUGAAAGACGGUUUUGCUGUCACUUAUAGAUGGAUCCGCGCCGCAUUAGCUAGUUGGUAAGGUAACGGCUUACCAAGGCAACGAUGCGUAGCCGACCUGAGAGGGUGAUCGGCCACACUGGAACUGAGGCACGGUCCAGACUCCUACGGGAGGCAGCAGUAGGGAAUCUUCCGCAAUGGGCGAAAGCCUGACGGAGCAACGCCGCGUGAGUGAUGAAGGUCUUCGGAUCGUAAAACUCUGUUAUUAGGGAAGAACAAAUGUGUAAGUAACUAUGCACGUCUUGACGGUACCUAAUCAGAAAGCCACGGCUAACUACGUG
rnacentral:rRNA from 1 species